UUGCACGCUGGCGGCAGGCCUCACACAUGCAAGUCGCACGGUAACAGGAAGAAGCUUGCUUCUUUGCUGACGAGUGGCGGACGGGUGAGUAAUGUCUGGGAAACUGCCUGAUGGAGGGGGAUAACUACUGGAAACGGUAGCUAAUACCGCAUAACGUCGCAAGACCAAAGAGGGGGACCUUCGGGCCUCUUGCCAUCGGAUGUGCCCAGAUGGGAUUAGCUAGUAGGUGGGGUAACGGCUCACCUAGGCGACGAUCCCUAGCUGGUCUGAGAGGAUGACCAGCCACACUGGAACUGAGACACGGUCCAGACUCCUACGGGAGGCAGCAGUGGGGAAUAUUGCACAAUGGGCGCAAGCCUGAUGCAGCCAUGCCGCGUGUAUGAAGAAGGCCUUCGGGUUGUAAAGUACUUUCAGCGGGGAGGAAGGGAGUAAAGUUAAUACCUAUGCUCAUUGACGUUACCCGCAGAAGAAGCACCGGCUAACUCCGUG
rnacentral:rRNA from 1 species